UAGUGUUCAAACCUAACGAG
rnacentral:snRNA from 1 species